GCCCCGCAGCUAGCUCAUUCGGUAGAGCAUGAGACUCUUAAUCUCAGGGUCGUGGGUUCGGAGCCCCACCACCGUUGGGGCG